rnacentral:RNase_P_RNA from 1 species
AAGGUGUAGCGUGCGAUUGCUUAAAAAUUUUAAGAGGAAAGUCCGGACUACAAUGGAGCAGGAUUCCAUCUAACAGAUGGCUAUCGUAAGAUAAGGGAAAGUGCAACAGAAAGCAAACCGCCAACAUAAGAUUCACAAAAAGAAUUCUAUGGCUUGGUAAGGGUGAAAGGGCGAGGUAAGAGCUCACCGGAUUUUAAGCAAUUAAAGUCGCAAUGUAAACCCAAUUCGUAGCAAGAAGAGCAGGUUAUAAGCUCCAUAUUUUUAGCUCUUCGCUUAAAGAUUAUUGUGAAAUAAUCCUUAGAUAAAUAAUCGCACACGACAGAAUCCGGCUUAUAGCUACACCUUUUAU